GGAAUCGAACCUGGCUCGCAGCGGUGGGAGCACUGCAUCUUAACCACUAGACCACCAGGGGACCAUAAGAGAAGAAGAGAGUAAUACACGUGAAUAAGGUCAAGGUUGCAGAGGUGCGCCAUCUUUUGGGGAAACGUGGGCAUUACAGGGGAAAGGUAAAUUGAACAAGGUUUACCUGUACCUAUUUUGAUAUAAAUUGGUCACGUUCAGCGGGCCGGAUUAAUAAACCAAACGGGUCGUGUGUGGCCCGCGUGCUGUAGUUUGCCAAUGUCUGUACUAAAGCCUUAUUUUAUGCUGAAUGUUGCAUUCGCUUAAGGCAGGGAGUUGCAGUUAAAGCUGGAAGAUGACGUUUUUUUAAUGAAUAUAUUUUUAAUGAAUAUAUUUUUAAUGAAUUUUUUAAUGCUUAAUCAUAAGCAUUAAAAAAAACAGUGGUGAUGGUGCACAACCACUUAUGUAGCCAAUCCUAACACAAAAAUGUGGUUCAGGAUCAACUAAUGACUAUGUCUGACAUGCGUGUAAUCAAGGAAUCCCACAGUGAUUGAAGUAACCUGCUGGUUCUGUGUGGAUCUUUUGAAAAGUCAACGCAGUGUGUAGAUGCCUUACAUUCACAAACUGCUUGAUCGGCUAGGUGCGGCAUGCUUUUAUUCAACACAAAAUUUAACCAACACAAUCUUCUCCACUGUCAGCCAUUGUGGAAUGAAAAAAAACAGCUGUUAAAAUCCACACAAAUAUAUUUGAGCUUGUUCAGUUUUUUGCACUUGUGGUUUGCUAAUUGUGACUAGUGCUCUCUCUGACCAUGCAGCCCAGCCACUACGGUUGCAUAAGCCAGUGAACUCUUACUGCCAGUCCCAAGCCCAGAUAAAUAGGGAGGGUUGCAUUGGAAGGGGAUCCAGCAUAAAACAUCAAUAUCAAAUAUAUCUAUAUAAUUUCUGGUUUGUGAUUAUGAAAGAUUUUACUAAUGCUCUGGCACAUUACAUCACCAAAGACAUUGUGCCCAUAUACACAGUUAAAAAACCUGGAUUUAUUCAUAUGCUUAAAAUAAUGUACGGUAUAUGGUAUAUGAGCUUCCAAACCAAAAGUAUUUUUCAGAAGUUACUCUUUCUAAGUUAUACAAAACUACACCUGAAAACAUUGAAAAGCAGCUGGAGAAUGUGUUGUUUUAUUCCACCACGACAGAUCUUUAGUUCAGAUGACUCUUGCAUCCCUAUUUGAGUUUGAUGGCACAAUGUAUAACAGACGACCGAAUUCUGCAAAGUUUCUGCCUCCAGACAGCUUAUUUCCCCAGUGACCACACUGGAGAAAUAAUUGCACAAUGUCUGAAUGACGUGUUGGCUUAGUGAAAACAUGGGGAACGUGUGCAUGACAACAGACAGUGGCACCAAUAUGAUUAAAGCUCUGAAACUAAACGAGUGGACCAACCUCCAGUAUUUUGGACACAACCUGCAUAACGCUAUCUGAAAUGGUGUGAAGGAUCCACAUAUUCAGUUGGGGUUUUCAAGAAGGUUGUUGGUGCUUUUUCAUUUAGUUGGAAAAAAAGAAGAGAUUUGCCGAAGCACAGACUGAGCUCAUCAGCUUAUCACAGAGAACCCAACCUGAAGGCAUCUAGAAACUAUUACAGCUCUAGUUGUGUCCCACCUCAUGAAGAUUUCAGGCCUUCAAAAAGAAAAUGCAGAGCCCUCCAGAAUCCCAAGCCUUCUCCAGUUGAAACCUACAGUAUUUCAUUCAGACAUUGGCCUUAGAGGAUAAACAACCUUUUAUUCAAUACUCAAGGAACAUUCUACAUAUGCUGUUUCUUCCUUAUGCCAUCUAAGGGAUUUCUUUUUGCCACUGACUGUCUCCCAAGGUUUGCUCAGCUGGGAAAAUAUAUAUGUAAAUGUAAUGAUAACUGAAUUUUGUUCUAUAAUUCUUACAUUCUGUAAAGCUGUGAAAAGGCCUAUAGAAAUAUACCUGAAUUGAAAUGAA